GGGCUGGAAACUGUUCAGAGGUGGUUUAGGUUUAACUCUGUCCUCCCACCUCCCACUUUGGAAAGGUAGGAUUGUAGUGCCAUUGGAAUAAUAUAUCUGUCCCUAAAAUCUGCUGGAAGCACAAUUCCAAUGCAGAGAAACUGAGUUCAGUUUGUUGGAGGAGCCCCCUCCUUCCAGGGGCAACUCCAGCCACUGGAGGUUUAAAUGAGGAUGGCAAGAAAAAUAAAAAGGGAAUGCCUGGGAUUCCCAGAGGAUGUGUUUGAAGAGGAUAACUGCAAAGGAGGACAGCUUGUAAGUAAUCAGUUUACUUCCCCUCCAGCAACAGAUACCACUGUGUUUACAUCUAUAGCACCUUGCAUUGUGUCUGGUUAAAGAUCUGCUUAAACAUUUCAAAUUUCCAGCCAGUCACAUCCUUCUGCUGAAGGGUAACAUGGAAUAAGUCAGCUUUACACAGGACUUGCAGGGGAUUUUCCUAUUCCCCCCUCUCACUGGCUUGUCAUUUCCACCUCACUUUUGUUGUUGUUGUUGUUGUCAUCAAUUUUUUAUACAUAUUUCUAAUGACUUUUCAUUCCUGUUACCAGCUGUUGUUUCUGCUGGCAGGAGCUGUUCAGGAGUGUUAAGGUUCACAUCAUCACAUGUCAAACCCAGCAAUCACAGCCUCUUCUAAGGGCAAGGGAGGAAAGUCCUGUUCCUCCUCACAUGGGUUGUAUCUAUUAAGUGAAAAAAAUUUCUGUGUUCAAGGAGUGUCUUGGCUCAAAGUCCUCCAUUCUUGGACAACUUGCAAAGAGGCUUCUCCUAAAAUGGGAAUUUAGCAUUAAGCCCAUUUUCUAGACUUGUAAACUGAGGCAGGGCAGCAGUCCCAGCUUCCUAAGUGACAGCAUGGAAAACACUAACUCCAGCCCACUCCCUUAACCAGCCUGCUUUGCACACCAGGGUCAGGGGACAACUUUAUGGAGCCCAAAAGAAGAGUCCUAAUGAGGGGGACAAGCAGCAGCACACACAGUCAUGGCCAGAGACGGUGGAUGGAGCUUGGAUGAGUGACUGGAAUGUUGGUGAAGAAGCCACUCACCAGAGUUCCAAAGCUCUGGGGUCAUCAAGGGGAGAGGAUAAAACUCACCCCUGAAAGCAUUUGUGGUGCUGGCUCUGGCAGCAGGAAGGAGUGAUGGAGCCCCAAGCCUAAAUAUUCACAAUUCUCUUUUUCCAGAGCUUUGAACUUAUCCUGAGCUUUUCUCUUUCCUGACUCCCUGACUAGGAACAGAAGGGGUGGGGAGGAGAUGUUCAUGGCAUCCUUCUGCUGCCUUCCCAUUCCACAAUGACCAUCUACAGUCACUGUGGCUCCAGCUUCCUUUACCUCUACCCCCCACCUCUUCCACAUGUCCAUUCCCUGACACACACACUCCUGUGGGGAUCACAGGAGCUUUACACAUCACUUCUGGCCAGACUACAGAGGGAGAGGGAUUCCUCCUCCUGUGGCAAGGCCAAAAGCUGGUGAAGAUCCAGGAACCAGAGGCUGAGGACCAAGAGUGUGAAGGUUUUAGAGUUAGAGGCAUUUAAAUUGGAUCACCGAGGAAGCCAAUUUCCCAUCUGGAAUGGCUGGAAUUCCUUUGUGUCGCUCUUCAGAUGCUUUCCUGCGGACUUGCAACCCCUCUCCAUGCUCUGAGCAUCUCUUGCUGCCCCUGGCACCAAACCGAUAGGAGUGGGAUGGACUGGGAUUCCCCUCCCCCGGGAUCUUCAUCUUCCCACAACAGCUGUUGGAAGCUAGGAGUCACUUGUUUAAAGCCUCGGUCAGAACAAAAGGUUUCUCUGUCACUGUAAAGCAGCUUCAUUUGCAGGGCUCUCCCGGCCAAUGUGCUUCCCGAGCAGAGCCAUAGAUGGCAGUACGUGGUAUUUACAGAGUUGUUUCCCCGAGUAAAUCUUCUUAUUUUAGCAGAAAGCGAGAGAAUUUCAUUUCCUUGUAGUUACAACGCGCUCAGAAUGUGAAUCCUAAAUCAAUGGAGGAAGCAAGAAAAGCCUCCUUGCCUGAGCACUUGGCAGACAGAGCUUGAAAUGCAAAAUCCCUCCGUGCUGUAUAGGAUUGUCUAUCCCCUUUCACAGGGAUGAUACCUGGAGAGUUGAACAAGAAAACAAUUUUCCAUACUGGAAGAAGAAGCUGAAGAUACCUCAAGUGACUGUCACAAAAGCCUGAAAUGAGCUCAAAAUUCCGGGAUCACUUUCACAAAGCAGCAGCUGGGCACGUGAAUGGGAGUUUAGUUCAGGCCAGUCAAAACAUUUUGAUUUCAAUACAUAUUCCCCCUUUUCUAUUGCUUUAGUAUCACUAGGUUAGCUUUAAAAAUUCAAAAUAAUAUUUAAGCAAUAAUAUUUGGGAUUUUUUUUUCCCCUUCUUUUCUCCUUCUUAUAGAAAAACACUUUCACACACUGAUGUCUAAUAUCAGUGAACUGAUACUUCUGCCCAAAGACAAAGCUAAGAACCCUAUGGAGGGAAUAUGUAACUAAUAGCAAGCUUCUUUCUCUUCCUGCUGGGUAUUUGGUUUAUCAGAGCAACACAGUGGAGGGACUUUAUUAAUCAAAGCUUUUUAUUAAUUGAAGCUUUUUAAUAACUGAAGUACUGGUGCUCCAUCAGAUCAGCUGAUGCUUCUGGCCAGAGCUGGGGCAAACUCACAUCUUCUCCCCUCUUGCAGCAAGAGAAAUGACUCUUACACCUGAAGUUAAAUAAAAACAUUUUGAACUGGAGAAAAAAAAAAAAAGAAAAAAAGUCUUCAUCAGGAAUGCUCCCUCCUUCCACAUUUAAAAUUCCACACAGCCAAUGAGCCCACUAAAAGGUGGCACCUCCAACAGGAAUUUAUAAAUAAUCCCAGCCAGUAAAUGACCAGAUCUGUGGGUUGUUGAGUUGGGUUUGACUGGCAAGCUUUUGGUAGUGGGGGGUGGGCUCCUAUGAAAGGCUUCUGGGAGCUUCUCCCGUGUCAAAAGGAGUCAGUGCCAACCAGCUCCAUGAUGGAAUCACCACUGGGCACGGCCAAGCCCACCAGCAUCUGUGCCAGCACCUCUGGGAUUUAAGAUUUAAGAAGGUGGGGGGGGGAAAAAAGAUGCCUAUAACUCCAACCUAAGAGAGAAGAUGGGAGAGAAACAGCCCUGAAAAUACCCAGGUGAGUGAAGAAGGAGGGGCAGGAGGUGCUGCAGGUGCUGGUGCAGGAAUUCCCCUGCAGCCUGUGGUGAGGCAGCUGUGCCCCUGCAGCCCAUGGAUGCCCACGGUGGAGAAGAGAAAAUCAAGAGUGAAGGUGAAGGGGAAGAUUUUUUAAAGAUUUGUAUUUAUUUCUCAUUCCCCUACUCCAAUUUAAUUGGUAAUAAAAUAAUUUCCCAAGUUGAGUGUGUUUUGCCCAUGACAGUAACUGGUGAGGGAUCUCUCCCUGCCUUUAUCCCAACACAUGAGCAUUUCCUUUUAUUUUCUCUCCCCUGUCCAGAUGAGGGGAGUGAAAAAGUGCCUUUGAUGGGCACCUGCCACCCAACCAGGGUGAGCCCACCACAGUCAUCGUCUUGCCCCCAUGUUCCCAACACCCAGGGACUGAACUCCACUCGAUUUAUUUACAUACAAGGACCCAAGUCAGCUCUUCACUGAUGUCAGAAGACAUAAUCAAAAAAAAACCCAAACCAAAACUGCAAAAUUUCACACAUUAGUGGUUUACAACCUCAUUUUUCAGAUUGAAACAUUUCAAAUCAUCUCCCAAGCCUAAUUCUUGGAAGACCAAGUGCUACCCGGCUCCCACAGAAACCAAUGGAGUUGGUGAGUGCUCAGCCCCUUUCAGGAUGUGUUCCUUUGAUUCUCACAUGAAUGAAAAUCUGUGGUUUUCCAACAACUUUGUUUCACCCAAACAUCCUGAAAUCAAAGGCUGAUCCUCUGGUUGUGUAGAUCACUUGAUAUAAACAUAUGUAAAACAUAUUUAUCCCGAAAUGUAGAGCUUAUUGAAGCUACCUUGGAAGCCCUUCAGUGGAAAGUGGGAUUAAUCCUGAGUAAAAUAAGAAAAAAAAAUUAAGAUUAAAUAAACCAUUCACCCAAACUCA